GACACCGGGAACACGCGGAACGGAGACGGCGCGGCGGGAGCAACAAAGGAGCCCCGGACCCCGAAGGAUAUACUUACUGAUUUCAGAGAGAAAGAGAGAGAGAAGUUGCUGUGAGAGAAAAACAUCAAUUGAUUACCUCCUCUCCACAUCCCAACCGGGAUGUGCAACCCAGGUAUGUGUCCCGACCGGAAACCAAACCUGCAGACUUUUGGUGCACGAGAGGACGCUCCGACCAGCUGAGCCACCCAUCCAGGGAGAGGUAAAGACGGGACCAGUCAUGUCGCUACCUGAGAACCCAUCCCGGGAAAGCGUGGGCAGCAGAACCGCAUGCGGGCUGAGUCUCCAAGCCUCCUCUACAUGCCCCUUUGUCCGGUUAAACUUCAUUCACAAAACAGAGAUUCAAAGAUAGAAUUUCAAAAUGGCAGCCACAGAAAUUCAAGCCAGGCAGCGGGCCCUUCUGAGUGCAGGGCUCUGUGUAGCUGCACUGGCUGCGUGCCCAUGAAGCUGCCCAAACACAUCAGACUCAGAACAACCUGAAACUGUCAACUUCUGCUCUUCUCGGGACUGGGAGCCUCUCCUUCCUCUCCAGUGGGGGCUAGCAGUGACAGAGUGGGACAGGGACGCUGCCUUUCGUGACCCCUCCUCAGUGAAGAUGAGUAAUGUCAGCCUCACUUAUUCUGCAGAAAAAUCAUCUGCACCUUUCUCUCUGUCUGAUGUAAAAAAAAAAAAAAGCCUUGAAUCAAACUAUCUUCGUGAACCACCUGGCUGAGAAAGAAACUUGAGAGCCACCUUUGGUGCCUCCUCUUCGUUCUUCCCCUUCAACGGUCACUGACUUCUCCACUGCCACAUCCAGUCUGCCCACAAUUCGUAUGACCUGCAUUCGGUCCCCUCCGAAAUUACCCUAGUCUAGACUUUAAUUCAUUUCUUACGUGGAAUAUUGCAAAGACCUCUUCACUAACAUCCCCACUCCCACCUGACUCUGUCACCGGUCCAUUUCCCACGUUCCUGAUGGACACAACUUUAGAAAUGGCAAAUCUGAUCAGGUCAUGUGCCCUCCUCCCCCGGAAUCGUUUAGUGACCUCAUUACUUUUAGGAUGAAAUCAAACUGCUCAGGAAAGCACACAAAACCUUUCACAAGUAUCUCCUUAAUGCGACCUCCUGCCAUGUCCCACUGCAGACCCUGUUGCCUUCUCAGCACACAGAAUUCUCCAGAUUGUUCCAGGAUCCUUCGUGUCUCCAGGUCUUUGUAUAUGUGGUGCCCUUGCUUGGUGCGCCUUCACUGCCUGCUGCACCAAAUCCCUACUUGUCCUGCGCAAUUUAGCUCAGUUCUUAGCUCCUCUGGCCCUCCUUGGCCACCUCCCCUUCCCAGCGUGCGACGUGUGCCUGUUAUCCAAAGACUCUGUCUCGAUGUUCGUCCUUUAGCACUUCUAUACCGAUUUACAAUGAACUGUUUCAGGCGGUCAGGUUUCUCAACUGCAGGGCAUGCCAUUUAUACCGUGGGUUUUUCAACUUGCCCCACCUCGUGUAACACCCUGAAACCCAGUCCCGGGCCCGAAUCACCACUGUAGUCCUGAUGCCUUGUACAACUUAGGGAGUGAGGUAGGCAGCGGGUGGCUGUUUGGUGGGAAAAGGAAGAAAAAGAAGGGAAGGAGAGAGGAAGAACUGCAGCUGCCAGCCUGCAGCGUUUCCUUCUCCUCCUCUCGGCCCGGGCCCCACUCCUCCUCCCCAUCCGCUGUCUGAUGUCUUAAGAGCCAGUACAGAUGCACAGCUCGGCCAGUCUGACUGUGCAGACGCAGGUGACCUAAGGGUGCGGGGGAAGCAACGAUGUGACCAAGUCCAAAGCAGUGGCUGUGUACAGACACAACCUGGCUCUUCAACUUGGGGCCUUUUGAUGUGGAACACGGACAUGCUGAUACUUAUCUCUGUCCGCGAUGACUAAUUCAUAAAGUUACCAUAAAGCACUUUGAAAAAUAUAUGGAUACGCCUAAAUGCACACAGCAAGAGAAAAACCCAGUUUUAUGGACAUAGAAAAACAACUUAAAAUGCAGUUGUGAAAACUCGGAGAACUAUACUCCACAUAAAGAAUUUUACUGCAUAUAAAUUUUUAAAAAGUCAACCAUUAUGAGGGGAAACCCAACAUGGAAUCCAAGCUGUAACAACUGAACCCAACAAUAUCACAAAUGAGUAACGUAACCAUAAUGUAAGUCGUGGAGAAGAAAAGAGGUAACUCAAGUUACUUCGGACAUCAGUGUUUUGACUGGAUACUGUAAGGCUAAUGGCCAAAAGAACUGUAUACAAAUACUACAGUCUAGUUAGUAAAUUUAUUUCUCACAGGGAUAUGGAUUAGCAAGUCUGAAACUACUUUGUGUAUACGUGCUAGAGUUGAACAAAUAAUUAAAUACAUUGUAGAUAAUGAAAGCCAGGUUUCAAACUGUCAGAGAAAGAAAUGAUAAAUAAGGGGGGGCGGCUAGGAUGUUCUCUGUGCUAUUGCAUUGGAGUCAGAGGUAUUGGUGUGAAUUCAUGGUGGGAAACAUAUAAAUGGGGCAGGCAAAAGUAAGCUUACAGUUAUGAGUACGUGAUACACAGACUUUAUUCUUGUAUUAUUUAUUAGUUUGUUUGUUUGUUAUUGUGUUAUUUAUUUGUAUUAUAAUUGUAAGUCUACUUUUUCCUACCCCUGUAUAUAUGUUACAUAUUGGGUUGGCCAAAAAGUUCAUUUGUUUUUUCUGUAAAAUGGCUGUAGCAGCACUUAGUUGUCUUCAACUUCAUCUGAAACAAUUUUGUUACAUUGUAUUGUGACAGCUGUCAUAUCAGAGUGCAUUUUAAAAAAAGCAUCCAAAUUGCUGAAUUUUUGUGUAGCUAUUUUAAUGUUGAAGAUGGAAGAAAAUACACAAAAUUCCCAGCAUAUUAUGCUUUAUUAUUUCAAGAAAGGUAAAAAUGCAACUGAAACGCAAAAAAAAAACCCCACAAAAACAGAUUUGUGCAGUGCAUAGAGAUGGUGCUGUGACUAAUCAAACACAUCAGAAACGGUUUGUGGAGUUCGUGUUGGAGAUUUCUCGCUGGACAAUGCUCCAUGGUCUGGUAAGCCAGUUGAAGGUGACAGUGAUCAAAUUGAGACAUUAAUUAAGAACAAUCAACGUUAUACCACAUGGGAGAUAGCCAACAUGCUCAAAAUAUCCAAAUCAAUAAAG